GACGAACGUUGGCGGCGUGGAUUAGGCAUGCAAGUCGCGGGAAUCCCAGCAAUGGGGGAACCGGCGUAAGGGGCAGUAAUGCGUGGGUACCUACCCCGGGGUCCGGGAUAGCCGUCCGAGAGGGCGGGUAAUACCGGAUGACCUCGGGAGAGCAAAGCUCCGGCGCCCUGGGAGGGGCCCACGUGAUAUUAGCUAGUUGGUGAGGUGACGGCUCACCAAGGCGGAGAUGUCUAGCGGGUGUGAGAGCACGACCCGCGCCACUCGCACUGAGACACUGGCGAGACACCUACGGGUGGCUGCAGUCGAGGAUCUUCGGCAAUGUGCGCAAGCACGACCGAGCGACGCCGCGUGGGCGAUGAAGGCCUUCGGGUUGUAAAGCCCUGUCGAGGGGGAGAAAAGCGGGAAACCGUGUGAUCUAUCCCUGGAGGAAGCUCGGGCUAAGUUCGUGCCAGCAGCCGCAGUAACAC
rnacentral:rRNA from 1 species